AUUGAACGCUGGCGGCAUGCCUUACACAGCAAGUUGAACGGCAGCACGGGAGCAAUCCUGGUGGCGAGUGGCGAACGGGUGAGUAAUAUAUCGGAACGUGCCCAGUCGUGGGGGAUAACGUAGCGAAAGCUACGCUAAUACCGCAUACGAUCUAUGGAUGAAAGCGGGGGAUCGCAAGACCUCGCGCGAUUGGAGCGACCAAUAUCAGAUUAGGUAGUUGGUGAGGUAAAGGCUCACCAAGCCGGCGAUCUGUAGCUGGUCUGAGAGGACGACCAGCCACACGGGGACUGAGACACGGCCCAGACUCCUACGGGAGGCAGCAGUGGGGAAUUUUGGACAAUGGGCGCAAGCCUGAUCCAGCAAUGCCGCGUGCAGGAUGAAGGCCUUCGGGUUGUAAACUGCUUUUGUACGGAACGAAACGGUGAGCUCUAAUACAGUUUGCUAAUGACGGUACCGUAAGAAUAAGCACCGGCUAACUACGUGCCAGCCGCCGCGGUAA
rnacentral:rRNA from 1 species